rnacentral:rRNA from 1 species
UACGUAGGGGGCAAGCGUUGUCCGGAUUUAUUGGGCGUAAAGAGCGUGUAGGCGGCUUUACAGGUCCGUUGUGAAAACUCGAGGCUCAACCUCGAGACGCCGGUGGAAACCGUAAAGCUAGAGUCCGGAAGAGGAGAGUGGAAUUCCUGGUGUAGCGGUGAAAUGCGUAGAUAUCGUUAAGGGAAGACCAGUGGCGAAGGCGGGUCGCUGGACAGUUCCUGACGCUGAGGCACGAAGGU